AUCAAAAAAUGCUUGAAAAAUAUGAAUCAAAUGUUUAUACAAAUCAAAUUUAUUGUUACAAAUCAGAAUUAACUGCAAAGUAACUUACAAUCAGAAUCAAAUCCAAUUAGAUAAAAAAUUGUAUUUUCUAAUAAAAACUCAAAUCUAAAAAUCCUAAAAUACAUCAAUCAAAUUAAAAUCUAUAACCUAAAAAAACCUAAAAAUACAGAAGAAAUCAGAUGAACAAGGAUGAAAAAAGAGAACCCUAAAAAAAACUUUUCUAUUGUAGCUGCAAUUCCAAUCCCACACCAGAGCUUGAAUCAAAGCAGGAUUAGGGUUUCAAAUUGAAACUCUGAUUUCUCUAAGCUUAGCCUUCAUCCUUGACUAGUAAGGACCUUGUAUUCAAAGAAAAGAGAAGUAGUAAGUGAUCAAAUGAAAAAACAGAAAGAAAAGGACAAUCAAAGGAAUAAAAGAAAGGAAUCAAGGGUUACCUUUUCACUGGAAUACAUCUCCAUUUCGUAGGUUGGUCUUCAUACCUUCAUGCAUUGCCUUUGGUUGUUGUUUGCUCUGAUUGUUUUUUGCUCUAAACUAUUGUGAUUUUUUAAAUUUGAUUAGGGUUAGAAGAAGUUAGGGUUGAUUUCGAUAGAUCGAGGGUUUGAUUGGGGUGUGGGGAAGGCUGAUAUAUGGAUCGGUCAGGGUUUGUUAUUUGAUCUUGGUAAGUUUGGUGUUUUUUGAAAAAUCAGGGUUAGUGUUCAUGUUAAUAGGGUUAGGGUUCAUGUGAUGAACCCUAGGGUUCAUCUGGGAAGGGUUAGGGUUCAAGAAUAGGGUUAGGGUUCAUCAGGGUUCUGGGAAUAUGAAGAAUUUUACGUAGGUGUUCAUCAUCCAGAUGAACACCAGUUGAAUAUCCCGAUUGAGCUUCAACAAGAGAUCUGGGUAAUGCGGAGGUUCCGGGGAGGGGGACGGUGGUGGUCAGUUUCUGGGUUGAGUAUUCUUCAUGUUCAUGAUGAACAUGAAAAUUCCGGUUGAAGAUGGUGGUCCGGGAGGUGAGUUAAGGUGGAUAAAAGGGUGGUCAUAAAGAGAGGUAGAGAGAUGUCAGAGAAAAAGAUAAAGCAGAGAGUAAGAGAUAGAAAGGAGACUGAUAAAC
rnacentral:lncRNA from 1 species